rnacentral:rRNA from 1 species
GUGGGGAAUAUUGGACAAUGGGCGCAAGCCUGAUCCAGCCAUGCCGCGUGAGUGAUGAAGGCCUUAGGGUUGUAAAGCUCUUUCAGUGGGGACGAUAAUGACGGUACCCACAGAAGAAGCCCCGGCUAACUUCGUGCCAGCAGCCGCGGUAAUACGAAGGGGGCUAGCGUUGUUCGGAUUUACUGGGCGUAAAGCGCACGUAGGCGGAUCGUUAAGUCGGGGGUGAAAUCCUGGAGCCCAACUCCAGAACUGCCUUCGAUACUGGCGAUCUUGAGUCCGGAAGAGGUGAGUGGAACUCCUAGUGUAGAGGUGAAAUUCGUAGAUAUUCGGAAGAACACCAGUGGCGAAGGCGACUCACUGGCCCAAUACUGACGCUGAGGCGCGAAAGCGUGGGGAGCAAACAGGAUUAGAAACCCCGGUAGUCC